AUUGAACGCUGGCGGCAGGCCUAACACAUGCAAGUCGAGCGGUAGCACAGGGAGCUUGCUCCUGGGUGACGAGCGGCGGACGGGUGAGUAAUGUCUGGGAAACUGCCUGAUGGAGGGGGAUAACUACUGGAAACGGUAGCUAAUACCGCAUAACGUCGCAAGACCAAAGAGGGGGACCUUCGGGCCUCUUGCCAUCAGAU
rnacentral:rRNA from 1 species